UUUCGCAUCACACACUAUAUAAAUAUACGCGGAGAUGCCCAGAUACAUUCAGGCACUGCGCACACAGGAUACUUGCUCCUGGUAGAUAAGAGCUGGCUAGGGAACAAUGACAGGGUCCACGCCCAACGUCCGCGCCCUGAUUCCCGCAGUCUGCAACGCUCUCCCUACCAACACCUUCCCCCUAAAUCCAUAGCCAAACGCCUUUGGCCCCUUUCCUUUUCCCGGGGCCGUUGGCUGAAAGUGGCGUUCCUGACUCAUUCACUUUCCGUUUCUUCCCACAGAUACGAUCAUUAAUGCUUUUUCCAGCCAGAGUCAAAACUUUUUUGGGGAUGGAAAGACAGCGGAAGAGUUUACUAGGACUGGGGAUAACCUGGCGCCUAGUUCUGGAGAAGAUCCGGACGCAGACCGAAGCAAACCAACCAUUAAAAAAUGCAUCCAAUGGGAAUUUUCCCAAUAGGGUCUUCCGCUGCUGAGACGCGGUGGACUCGCAGCUCACCCACGCGGAUUCGGGGCGCUUUCGGGCUGACCUUGCCGCCAGGGGCGCGACUCGACACCCCGCGCAUUGUUAGGAGAGGGGCGCCCUCUUUGCCGCGCGCCUUGUCUUUGGGCUUCUGGCGCAGGAGAAGUGCAGGCAUCGAUGGCACCCUAGGCCACCUACCCGCGUUUUCUUGGGCUAAACCCUUCGCGCUUCCCCGGACCCAACAGCCCCAGCCUGGUCUUCAGAGCUAGAGUCGCCCUUCCAAUUUCACCUGGGUUCCCAAGGAACUGACACUACGGAAGGACUUGCCCUCCACGCUGGUCAGCAGGUUCCGGGAGCGCAGCACGCAACAGCUCAACACGGACCCAGACUUCUCCCGGAACAGGUUACCUUGUCCACGCUCUCCAGACCACGCUUUGGACUGUCUCACUUUUAUUUAAGAAUCCUCCCGGGGAAAAAGGGAAAAAAAAAAAUCCAGUGGAGAUCCGAGUAAAAUGGAAAGAAAAAAAUUUUCAAAAGGGUGUCCACAGCGGCAAAAAAGCCCAGACUCUACCGACCUUCAAACGACAACAGCGUUUUCUGGAGGGUGCUUGGAGACCACGACUCACCAGGACCUCACCAGAAACCCAAACAUCCCUGCCACAUUGCCUCUCCUUCAGCCAGAAAGGACCCAAGUUCACCACCAAGAGACCCCCUUCCUGGUACUGGGCACUCCCAGAGGCUUGCCACCCCACACGUGGCAACCCCUCCUUCCCCACACAUGCACACUCCUAGCCUUCAGAAGGCCUUUUGUGACCAACCUAGUCACCAGUUUUCUCUCUCUAACUCCUGUGGACCUGGCAAAUGCCAGUUGUCUUCACUACAUUGGUAGGUAGUCACCCCAACAUCCCUAGUAUCCCCCAACUUCAUUAAGGGCAGUUGCCUCUCCCUUUGGAAGUGUUGAAUAUGAAACUAGAUGAAAACGAAGACUUGCCUGCCUGUCCGAGUUGUGAGCUGAAUAGCACUUUCUGUUUCUGCCUGUGAAACCAAAGUUAUGGCAAUUUCGUAAUUUUGGAGAUGUGGUGGGGGAGGGCUGGCAUAGGCAUCACCCUGUGCAUAGACUUCGGCAUCAUUCCCUCUGUGACUCAUGAAUUGGCACUAAUGCUCCCUGUCUUUUACUAUUUACUGGCCCCUCCAUGAGGAGCUACUGCCCAUUUACAGGGGUCUCCACCCAGAAAGAAGACCCCCUUAAUUUUGAGCAGAUCUCUGAGGGAAUAUCAGAUUCUUUCCAUCCCUUGUUGACGUGCUGGUGGGCAAGCUUGUCUUGCUUAUGUAACUCUGGGUUUGAUGCUCCACUCCAUUGCUGCUGGUUCUUUUUUAAAUCCCGAAGGGGGGGAAAGCCCUAACCAAACACAACAGUAAACAAGUCUGCCCUGCUUAAUGUGGUUACCACCAGACAUCUGGAAAGAUGGUUUGAUCCUGGCAGCUCACAUUGUUUUCACGAGCAGCCAAAGAGAAUAUUUUGAAUGUUUGCAUUGAGACAAAUUGAUAGAGAGCCUGCGGUGAGGCUGCUAUAAAUGAAAACUGUCUUGUGUUGGGAAGAAGGCGUUCCCUGCCCUCUCUUCUCUCUCUACUCCUCUCUCCUCACUUUCUUCUUCCCUCUCCCCUCUUUCUGUCUCCCCCUCUCCCUUGUCUACUAGCCUAGCUUGGGAAUGGUUGCCCCUGCCCACACACUUGUGCACACCCUCUUUCCUGGCUCACUAAGGACUGCCUGGCUUCACUCUUUCCCAGACUGGGCAGGGCUGGGGACCAGAAUCUGGUAUGGGUACCACUGUGCCCAUUCCACCAGCCCAUUCCUGGCUUUCAAGUCAGUGGACUCUCACAGCCAAGGACACUAGGCCAAGCAUUUUUUUUCUUUUUAAGCUACCAACUGGAGAAAAAAAAUA